rnacentral:rRNA from 1 species
UCAGCAGUCCAAGAAUAUUAGUCAAUGCUCGAAAGAGUGAACUAGCUAACUGAAAUCAAUUAUAAAAUUGAUAACAUAAGGGAAAAUAAUGAUAUUACCUUAUUAUUAGUGUCGUCCAAAACUGGUGCCAGAAGACUCGGUAAGGCCAGAGACAUAAACGUUAAUCGUCUUAAUCAGGCGUAAAGGGUUUGUAGGCGGCUUUUAAUUUUAUUUAUUUAUUUUUUUUGUUUUUAUUAAAAUUUAUAAGUACAGAAUAAAAGCUAGAAUCAAAUAGAGGAUAUAUCAAAUAAUGCUUAGAGUAGGUCUGAUAUCCUUAGAUACUAAGUAGAAUAUUAAAGGCGAAGGCUUUUUUCCAUUAAUGAUUGACGCUCAGAAACGAAGGUGAGGAUAGGAAAUAGGAUUAGAUACCCAAAAUACCCCUCUCUGUCAACGAUGAAUGGUAGUUAUUAGUAAUAAAUUAAUUAAUGACAAUGUUAACACGAUAACCAUUCCGCCUUGUGAGUACAACUGCAAAGUUGAAAACAAAAAAAUUAGUCGGUUUCGGAGCAAACGAAGUGAAGCAUGUUAUUUAAUUCGAUAAUCCGCAAAAAAAAAC